rnacentral:rRNA from 1 species
GAACGCUGGCGGCGUGCCUAACACAUGCAAGUCGAACGGAGUUCUUGAGGAAUGCGGCUUCGGCCAAAUGACUUUUGAACUUAGUGGCGGACGGGUGAGUAACGCGUGAGCAACCUGCCUUUCAGAGGGGGAUAACAUUUGGAAACAGAUGCUAAUACCGCAUAAGAUUACAGUACCGCAUGAUACAGUGAUCAAAGGAGCAAUCCGCUGAAAGAUGGGCUCGCGUCCGAUUAGAUAGUUGGUGAGGUAACGGCUCACCAAGUCGACGAUCGGUAGCCGGACUGAGAGGUUGAACGGCCACAUUGGGACUGAGACACGGCCCAGACUCCUACGGGAGGCAGCAGUGGGGAAUAUUGCACAAUGGGCGAAAGCCUGAUGCAGCAACGCCGCGUGAGGGAAGACGGUUUUCGGAUUGUAAACCUCUGUUUUCGGUGACGAACAAAUGACGGUAACCGAGUAGGAAGCCACGGCUAACUACGUGCCAGCAGCCGCGGUAAUACGUAGGUGGCAAGCGUUAUCCGGAAUUACUGGGUGUAAAGGGAGCGCAGGCGGGAUAGCAAGUCAGCUGUGAAAACUAUGGGCUCAACCCAUAAACUGCAGUUGAAACUGUUAUUCUUGAGUGGAGUAGAGGCAAGCGGAAUUCCGAGUGUAGCGGUGAAAUGCGUAGAUAUUCGGAGGAACACCAGUGGCGAAGGCGGCUUGCUGGGCUCUAACUGACGCUGAGGCUCGAAAGUGUGGGGAGCAAACAGGAUUAGAUACCCUGGUAGUCCACACUGUAAACGAUGAUUGCUAGGUGUGGGGGGUCUGACCCCCUCCGUGCCGGAGUUAACGCAAUAAGCAAUCCACCUGGGGAGUACGGCCGCAAGGUUGAAACUCAAAGGA